rnacentral:rRNA from 1 species
GAAUAUUGCACAAUGGGCGAAAGCCUGAUGCAGCAACGCCGCGUGAGCGAUGAAGGCCUUUGGGUCGUAAAGCUCUGUCCUUGGGGAAGAAAAAAAAUGACGGUACCCUUGGAGGAAGCCCCGGCUAACUACGUGCCAGCAGCCGCGGUAAUACGUAGGGGGCAAGCGUUAUCCGGAAUUGUUGGGCGUAAAGAGUGCGUAGGUGGUUUUGUAAGCGCGGGGUGAAAGGCAAUGGCUCAACCAUUGUAAGCCCUGCGAACUGUGAGACUUGAGUGCAGGAGAGGAAAGCGGAAUUCCUAGUGUAGCGGUGAAAUGCGUAGAUAUUAGGAGGAACACCAGUGGCGAAGGCGGCUUUCUGGACUGUAACUGACACUGAGACACGAAAGCGUGGGGAGC